UGCUCUCCAGUGCAAAAACCUCUGGGUUUAAAAAGCCAGUAAAAACUGUUUAUUAUUUAUUUCUAGAGUACAGGAUAUUCUUAGAAAGAGCCCCGAGGAUCGUCAAGUCAAACGAUGGUAGGGGACUGGCCCAUGUGGGCAUUAAACUCGGAAUCCUGGCCUUCUCAGCACCCUGCUCCAAGCACCUGAGCCAAUCUCAGGGUCACGAGAAAAGUCCUGCCUGGGAUGGGAAUGGCUGCUGCCAGCAAGGGAAUUCCUGGGAAAAUCAGCACAUGUUUUGCUAAUGCUGCUUUGCACACCAGCCUCUGGACUGGCUCUAGGGUAGAACUGGCUGGCAUCUGACACAACAGCACAAAACUCUUCCCAUAAUCCUGAUUUUCUGUCUUUUUCAGCAUUUCCCUGUUGGCUGUAAAGGUGCUGAUGCCGUGUUCCUUUCCAGGGAGAAACGAGCAAGGCCAGUCCUGAGGGCUCCCUUGCUCCCAGGCCGAAGCUCUCCUGCAGUGUCAGGGCUGGUCCCGCCUGCCGAGGGGCGUUUCCUGCAGUGAGAAGAACAUGAACUCACCACCAUUAAGGCCUGGCAGUUCCCUGAAUGAGAGCUCAGUGCACAUCCACAGAGGCAAUUCCAGCAUCUGAAAGAAAAAGCAAGAAGAAAAAGGCACUUCUGCAAUCCAACCCUGAAGCUGAGCAGCCCGAAAGCUCUGGAGUCUGCUCUGGAACAAAAGGAUCCUCCCAGGGGUGAGGCCCAUUCCCAGCAAACCCUCCCAACAGGCCCAGAGGCACCACCGGAGCUCCUGUAGGGGCUGGGAAGGGCUGCCAGGAGGACACAGCCCCAGGGGUGGCAGUGGCAGUGACAGCAGCAAAUGGCCACGGUGGGAUGGCACAGCAGAGAGACCAAGGCCAGCAAUGGCCACGGCAGCUGCAGGGUUAAUUCUGCUCCCUGCGCUGCCCCAGCCCCGCAGGAAAUGCCCGGGGGGGACAGAAACUCUCAGGGUGCACAAAAUGCAGCACCUGUGCCCCUGAUCCUGCCUGAGCUCAGCGUGGGGGGCCAACCCCCCCAGGGUCAGCCCUGCCCUGCCCUGGAUCAGCCCCAGACACUGCCCCAGCUCCCAGCUGCUCCCGGGGCUGCCACCAUGCCUGGCAAGGGGACAAAGGUGACAGAGCCCCUUUGGACAGGGCUCUCUCUGGGUCUCGGGCGUUGGGGACUGCAGGGACAGCCUGAAACCAGGGCAGAUCCCUCUGGGUUUGUGACACUCUGGGGACAGCUGGGGA